UAUUGGGACAUAUAAAAAAAGACAACUCUGUUCCGCAGAGUAGCUGUUGACAUUAUAGUUGCGCAGGCACUUUGUUGACUCUCGGGAACCUCGUGGCAAUCGCACAUCCCCGUGACGGCGACUUUGCAUUCGGAUGUCAUCCAUAUCAACUUUCGAUGCCAGUUUUUGCGCCUACCAUGGUGACCACGGGUAACGGGGAAUCAGGGUUCCAUUUCGUACAGGGACCCUGAGAAACAGCUACCACAUGCAAGGAAGGCAGCAGGCGCGCAAAUGACCCACUCCCAACACGGGAAGGUA